rnacentral:rRNA from 1 species
UAAGGAAUAUUGGUCAAUGCCCGGAAGGGUGAACCAGCCAUCCCGCGUGAAGGAUGAAGGGGCUCUGCCUUGUAAACUUCUUUUGAAUGGGACGAAAAAGCCUCACUUGUGAGGAACUGACGGUACCAUUAGAAUAAGCACCGGCUAACUCCGUGCCAGCAGCCGCGGUAAUACGAAGGGAGCUAGCGUUGUUCGGAAUCACUGGGCGUAAAGCGCACGUAGGUGGGCAGUUAAGUCAGGGGUGAAAGCCCGAGGCUCAACCUCGGAAUUGCCUCUGAUACUGGCUGUCUAGAGUUCGAGAGAGGUGAGUGGAAUUCCUAGUGUAGAGGUGAAAUUCGUAGAUAUUAGGAAGAACACCGGUGGCGAAGGCGGCUCACUGGCUCGAUACUGACACUGAGGUGCGAAAGCGUGGGGAGCAAACAGGAUUAGAUACCCUAGUAGUCCCUGAGCGGGCUGGCAAGGCGCAU